GGGCAUGUAACUCAGUGGACAGAGUACUGGAUUCCGAUUCCAGCAGUCGAAGGUUCAAAUCCUUCCUUGCUCA
rnacentral:tRNA from 1 species